rnacentral:rRNA from 1 species
GACGGAGGAUGCAAGUGUUAUCCGGAAUCACUGGGCGUAAAGCGUCUGUAGGUGGUCAAAUAAGUCAACUGUUAAAUCUUGAGGCUCAACCUCAAAAUCGCAGUCGAAACUAUUAGACUAGAGUAUAGUAGGGGUAAAGGGAAUUUCCAGUGGAGCGGUGGAAAUGCGUAGAGAUUGGAAAGAACACCGAUGGCGAAGGCACUUUACUGGGCUAUUACUAACACUCAGAGACGAAAGCUAGGGUAGCAAAUGGG